rnacentral:rRNA from 1 species
GGUUGCGAUCAUACCAGUACUAAUGCACCGGAUCCCAUCAGAACUCCGCAGUUAAGCGUGCUUGGCGAGAGUAGUACUAGGAUGGGUGACCCCCUGGGAAGUCCUCGUGUUGCAACCCC